ensembl:misc_RNA Y_RNA Y RNA
GGCUGGUCUGAAGGUAGUGAGUUAUCUCAACAGAUUGUUCACAGUCAGUUACAGAUCGAACUCCUUGUUCUACUUUUUCCCCCUUCUCACUAAUGCACUUGACUAGUCUUAA